UACGUAGGGGGCAAGCGUUGUCCGGAAUCAUUGGGCGUAAAGCGCGUGUAGGCGGCUCGAUAAGUCUGCUGUGAAAGUCCAGGGCUCAACCCUGGGAUGCCGGUGGAUACUGCGAGGCUAGAGUCCGGAAGGGGCGAGUGGAAUUCCUGGUGUAGCGGUGAAAUGCGCAGAUAUCAGGAGGAACACCAAUGGCGAAGGCAGCUCGCUGGGACGGUACUGACGCUGAGACGCGAAAGCGUGGGGAGCAAACAGG
rnacentral:rRNA from 1 species